rnacentral:pre_miRNA from 1 species
UCUUAAGGAUGAGCAAAGAAAGUGGUUUCUUGAGGCAGAAUCUACUCCUGGUGAAGACGUUGUGAA